AGAAAGUUACUUCGGUACAUCGGUGACAGGUGGUGCAUGGUUGUCGUCAGCUCGUGUCGUGAGAUUGUUGGGUUAAGUCCCGCAACGAGCGCAACCCCUAUUGUUAGUUGCCAUCAUUCAGUUGGGCACUCCAGCGAGACUGCCGGUAAUAAACCGGAGGAAGGUGGGAGUGACGUCAAAUCAUCAUGCCCCUUAUGACCUGGGCUACACACGUGCUACAAUGGUUGGUAUAACGAGUUGCGAGUCGGUGACGGCGAGCUAAUCUCUUAAAGCCAAUCUCAGUUCGGAUUGUAGGCUGCAACUCGCCUACAUGAAGUCGGAAUCGCUAGUAAUCGCGGAUCAGCACGCCGCGGUGAAUACGUUCCCGGGCCUU
rnacentral:rRNA from 1 species